ACUGAUUUCUGGAAUGGAUAGGCAAACAACCCCAGUGUUUCCCAAAGCACUUCUGAAUAUCACUCCCCUGCUACACACCACACACACACACACACACACACACACACACACACACACACAGUCAGGACAUGAAUGAACCCGACAGACAGUUGGCUUGAAUUCUGCCUCACCUCCAUAAAGAAGCAUGCAGAGCCCGGCUGUGAAGACAAUAUGGUUAGGCUACACUGCUUUAUAGACAGAGAGAAAGAAGGAAAACAACUCUUUGCCUUGGAUGCAAAUAAACUCAGCUUCACCUUUAAAGCUGAAAACCUGUGCCCUUGGCAAGACGUCUGGGGACCCUUCCAGAGGUAUUAAUCUUCCUCCGUUUACAAGUUAAAUAAGUCUUUGAAAACUUUCUCUAGCCCUGCUUUUUCUCUCCAGCACCAUCUCCUUCUUUCGCGCCUUUUUAGUACACUCAGAACUCCCCAGACGCAGGAAUUCCCCGGGAACCGAGGUCCGGGAAAUAGACUCGGGUGGAUUUCCGAGUCACCCCCUGGCUGCGGAGCCGCCAGCAGAUGGCGCUGUGCCGCACGGUAUGGAUCCCGCGUGCCGGCCGGCGCUGGAGUGGGCAGUCUGCUCAAAGUUUCUAGUGCCAUUCCUGGACCGAAACAAAUGUUUGUGGAAUUAAGUAGUGAUUUCCUUUAGUCUGCGCGACUCUUACUGGCUGUGUUUUCAGGCUCUAGAUGUUACCAUAUGCCAUAUAUUGCUUUCUCGGGGAGAAAUCGAGGGUUUCAAAGCACACUUAACCCAUCCUAACUGCUCACGUCAACUAGUCAAGGUCUGCAUUUUCUGAUAAAAAUAACCCAUAAAACUUCCAUAUUAAGAGCUAGAAUGGUUUGGAAGACAAAGAAAUGCUGAAAAAUGUCUGUGGCAGGGGAGUGGCGGGAACAUCAGUGGCCUCUUCAACACUGGUCACGUUCCCCAUUAAUCUCCUGCAGAAAGGGCCACAGGCCAGGAGAGGGGAACCCCAGUCACGCUUGCCUGUCUUCUGUCCCUGGCUGUCAAAUGCCAGCCCCAAAGGCAGCAACAGUGGCUCCCAAGCUUCCGCACCAAGGGCUCCCAGUAGGAGGGAGCGAUACCUUAGCCAGAGGAAGAGCAACACCCGAGUUGAGCCUGCUUCUCAUAUUUCCCACCUGGGUUGAAAGCCAAGCCAAGCAGCUCCAAGGAGACUAUGCAAGAGACCACAGCCAUGGAUCCAAAGGCACAUCGACUCAUGCUCAUAGCUCAACAGCUCCCAUUUUAAACCUGGAAGCAGAGCCUGCCCCUGAAUCAUAAAGCCACUAAAACUCUAGCUCUUCCAAGCAGGACUAGGAUUAGAACAAUCAGAGGAAACUUUCGAGAGGGAGUCAAAAGUAAAUCCUCACAUAGCAAUACCUUCCUCCUUCCUUCACAAAAGAUGACAGGGGAUUCUUCCUCCAGAAUUCCCACUAGAAGACUGAGGUGGAAUUUUCCAUCACCCCUGUGAGCCAUUACAUGCCCAGAAGCUGAGAAAGGACAAAAGCUAUUAAUAUUUCUUAGCCUAAUAUUCUCCCUGGUGGCUCAGAUGGUAAACAGUCUGCCUGCAAUGCAAGAGACCUGGGUUCGAUCCCUGGGUCAGGAAGAUCCCCUGGAGAAAGAAAGAGCAGCGCACUUCAGCAUUCUUGCCCGGAGAAUUCCAUGGACAGAGGAGGCUGGUCCAUGGGGUCACAAAGAGUCGGACACUACUGAGCGACUUUCACUUUCAGCCUGAUACCCUGUUUUCAUAUCAUGAAGCCCACAGGUUGGAUCUUUUUGUUCAUUGUAACAGACUUUGUGUUGGUGUCAGACUUUCUAAGAUGGUGUCAUGAGCAGCCCCCAGCCAAACAGCAGGACAGAGUGGGAUUCACGUCUUGCCUGUUGAAGUGGUUCUGCAUGGACAUCUCUGCAGGAAAGGACCUAUUUUUUGUCAUUUCCACAUAGAGGUAGGACUGGACAGCCAUGUUACACAUUUAGUGGGCCUUCCCAGUGUGGUCUUUACACUAAAAGAAUGUCAAGAAGUCCUCUGGAAAUAAAAACAAAAGAAUAUUCCUCCA
ensembl:lncRNA